rnacentral:rRNA from 1 species
GCCUAACCUAACAUGCAAUCAAAACACCAAUUGUUCGCCAAAUAACUACGAGUAAAAACUUAAAAUUUAAAAGACUUGACGGUACUUUACACCAGCCUAGAGGAGCCUGUCUAAUAACCGAUACUCCACGAUUAACCCAACCCACCUUAGCCAAAUCAGUCUAUAUACCGCCAUCGCCAGCUCACCUUGUAAAAGUAACAUAGCGAGCCUAAAAGCACCACCGCUAACACGAUAGGUCGAGGUGUAACUUAUAGGUGGGACCAGAUGGGCUACAUUUUCUAAUACAGAAAAUACGAAUAAACUAUGAAAAUAGAAACCGAAGGAGGAUUUAGCAGUAUGUUGAGGACAAAAUACUCAACCGAAACAAACGCAAUGAAGUGCGUACACACCGCCCGUCAUCCCUGUCAACACCCAACAAACCUUUAUAAACCAACACAAACUACUAAACAGGGCAAGUCGUAACAUGGUAAGCGUACUGGAAAGUGCGCUUAGAAA